AUUUAUAUAGUUUAACAAAAACAUUACAUUUUCAUUGUAAAAUUAAAUUUUUAAUUUUGUAAAUA
rnacentral:tRNA from 1 species